UACAGAGGUCUCAAGCGUUGUUCGGAUUCAUUGGGCGUAAAGGGUGCGUAGGUGGCGGGGUAAGUCAGGUGUGAAAUCUCGGGGCUCAACCCCGAAACUGCACUUGAUACUGCCUUGCUUGAGUACUGGAGAGGAGAUUGGAAUUUACGGUGUAGCAGUGAAAUGCGUAGAUAUCGUAAGGAAGACCAGUGGCGAAGGCGAAAUCUCUG
rnacentral:rRNA from 1 species